UGGGGAAUUUUGGACAAUGGGCGCAAGCCUGAUCCAGCCAUGCCGCGUGUCUGAAGAAGGCCUUCGGGUUGUAAAGGACUUUUGUCAGGGAAGAAAAGGCUGUUGCUAAUACCGACAGCUGAUGACGGUACCUGAAGAAUAAGCACCGGCUAACUACGUGCCAGCAGCCGCGGUAAUACGUAGGGUGCGAGCGUUAAUCGGAAUUACUGGGCGUAAAGCGAGCGCAGACGGUUACUUAAGCAGGAUGUGAAAUCCCCGGGCUCAACCUGGGAACUGCGUUCUGAACUGGGUGACUAGAGUGUGUCAGAGGGAGGUAGAAUUCCACGUGUAGCAGUGAAAUGCGUAGAGAUGUGGAGGAAUACCGAUGGCGAAGGCAGCCUCCUGGGAUAACACUGACGUUCAUGCUCGAAAGCGUGGGUAGCAAACAGGAUUAGAUACCCUGGUAGUCCACGCCCUAAACGAUGUCAAUUAGCUGUUGGGCAACUUGAUUGCUUAGUAGCGUAGCUNACGCGUGAAAUUGACCGCCUGGGGAGUACGGUCGCAAGAUUA
rnacentral:rRNA from 1 species